GACGAACGCUGGCGGCGUGCCUAACACAUGCAAGUCGAACGAGGUCCAAGGAAGCUUGCUUCCUGAAGACCUAGUGGCGAACGGGUGAGUAACACGUGAGAAACCUGCCUCGGAGUGGGGAAUAACUCGGGGAAACUCGAGCUAAUACCGCAUACCUUCACAUGAUCGCAUGGUCGAGUGAAGAAAGAAUUUCGCUCUGAGAGGGUCUCGCGGCCUAUCAGCUUGUUGGUGGGGUAACGGCCUACCAAGGCAACGACGGGUAGCUGGUUUGAGAGAACGAUCAGCCACACUGGGACUGAGACACGGCCCAGACUCCUACGGGAGGCAGCAGUGGGGAAUCUUGCGCAAUGGGCGAAAGCCUGACGCAGCAACGCCGCGUGCGGGAUGACGGCCUUCGUGGUUGUAAACCGACGUUUCAGCAGGACGAAAUGACGGUACCUGCAGAAGAAGACCCCGGCUAACUACGUGCCAGCAGCCGCGGUAAU
rnacentral:rRNA from 1 species